UACGUAGGGGGCUAGCGUUGUCCGGAAUCAUUGGGCGUAAAGCGCGCGUAGGCGGCCAGAUAAGUCCGGUGUGAAAGUCACAGGCUCAACCUGUGAAUGCCGCUGGAAACUGCCCUGGCUUGAGUCCGGAAGGGGCGAGUGGAAUUCCUGGUGUAGCGGUGAAAUGCGCAGAUAUCAGGAGGAACACCAAUGGCGAAGGCAGCUCGCUGGAACGGUACUGACGCUGAGGCGCGAAAGCGUGGGGAGCGAACAGG
rnacentral:rRNA from 1 species